UCUAGGCUUGUUGACAUCUGGAGCAUCGUGGGGUAAAAUCAGCCAAGAUACAGCCCUCCCUUUCAGUGAGGCGCUUCCAGUUGCGAAUGUGCCUCCAGUUGUCAGGAGAAAGGGCGGGGAGCUUGCAGAGGAAGAGAGGAGAGUACAAGUAACAUGGCCUGAAGACAUGUAUUUACUAACUGUACAGAAAUAUGGGUUGGAGUGUACGUCAUUUCAAGAUGAACAAAGCUUUAUGUGCUGUGUUGUGAAGCUGCAUGGCAGAACAGGAAACUUCAGCGAGUGUGACAUUUUUUGUUGGUGUUGAAUUUCGUGACUGGAAGUCUUAAGACAUUUGAAAAAAUAGGAUGGAGAGCAUGAAAGAGACAAAACACUUAAGACUUUGUGUGACCGUAAGCAAAACACUUAGUAACAUCUUAAGAAAAAGAUCUUUCUAAAGGCUAUUGUGGGGAAAAAAGUGUGCUUGAAAGUUCCAGCUGUCCUGAUUGGAAAGAUGGUACCUAAUUAGUAAAAAACAAGUGAGCCAAUAAAUCCAUUUAAAUAGGUCUACAUAGAAAUUAGUAAAGAGUAUUCAAGCUAUAUGUUAAAUGGUAAAGUAUGAGACAUAAAGUGAAU